rnacentral:lncRNA from 1 species
GGCUGUUUCCCAGCUGCUGGAAUCUGUGCCAGGCACAUACACACACCCCUUUAACUUGAAUGAUGACCUACAGAACCUCACCAAAUCCUUAUUUUAAACUCAUGGGU